GAUGAAGAACGUAGUGAAAUGCGAUACUUGGUGUGAAUUGCAGAAUCCCGUGAACCAUCGAGUCUUUGAACGCAAGUUGCGCCCGAAGCCAUUAGGCCGAGGGCACGCCUGCCUGGGUGUCACACACCGUUACCCUCGCGCCAACGUCCAUCGUUGGCCGCGGCGCGGGGCGUGCGCUGACCUCCCGCGAGCGGGGUCUCGUGGUUGGUUGAAAAUCGAGUUCGCGGUCGAGGGUGCCGUGAUGAAAUGGUGGAUGGGCGACGCCCGAGGCCAAUCACGCGCGACUCUGUCCGGCUCGGAUUCCUGGACCCCUUCGGCGUCUCCGGACGCUCUUUGGCGAGACCUCAGGUCAGGCGGGGCUACCCGCUGAGUUUAAGCAUAUCAAUAAGCGGAGGA
rnacentral:misc_RNA from 1 species